AAAGCGGUGGGGGAGCAAACAGGAAUUAGAUACCCUGGUAGUCCCACGCCGUAAACGAUGUCUACUUGGAGGUUGUGGCCUUGAGCCGUGGCUUUCGGAGCUAACGCGUUAAGUAGACCGCCUGGGGAGUACGGUCGCAAGAUUAAAACUCAAAUGAAUUGACGGGGGCCCGCACAAGCGGUGGAGCAUGUGGUUUAAUUCGAUGCAACGCGAAGAACCUUACCUACUCUUGACAUCUACAGAAGCCAGCGGAGACGCAGGUGUGCCUUCGGGAACUGUAAGACAGGUGCUGCAUGGCUGUCGUCAGCUCGUGUUGUGAAAUGUUGGGUUAAGUCCCGCAACGAGCGCAACCCUUAUCCUUGUUUGCCAGCACUUCGGGUGGGAACUCCAGGGAGACUGCCGGUGAUAAACCGGAGGAAGGUGGGGACGACGUCAAGUCAUCAUGGCCCUUACGAGUAGGGCUACACACGUGCUACAAUGGCGCAUACAGAGGGCGGCCAACUUGCGAAAGUGAGCGAAUCCCAAAAAGUGCGUCGUAGUCCGGAUUGGAGUCUGCAACUCGACUCCAUGAAGUCGGAAUCGCUAGUAAUCGUGGAUCAGAAUGCCACGGUGAAUACGUUCCCGGGCCUUGUACACACCGCCCGUCACACCAUGGGAGUGGGCUGCAAAAGAAGUGGGUAGUUUAACCUUCGGGAGGACGCUCACCACUUUGUGGUUCAUGACUGGGGUGAAGUCGUAACAAGGUAACCG
rnacentral:rRNA from 1 species